AUGACUAUUACUCAUUGUGAUGAUUAUUAUUGGGAAAAUAUUGAUACUUCUUAUAAUCUUGAAAAUAUUUUUGGCACCAACUUAGAAAAUUGUGAUGAUAAUAAUUGCUAUACUAUUGGUGCUAUUCAUACUAUUAAUGAUGAGAGUGAUUAUGCUUAUGAUAUGCAAAGCCACAAGCUUGGGGAUGCUAUGUUUGAUGAGAAUGACAUGCGUGAGAAUUUAUUUGUUGCAAUUAAUAUUUGUCCCAAGCUUGGGGAUUCUAUGCUUGAUGAAGAUGAUAUUUUUAGUCCCCCAAGUUUUGAUGAGCAAAUUUAUUAUGAUGAAAGCAUGCCUCCUAUUUAUAAUGAUUAUAUUGAUGAAAGUGGGUUUGGAAGAGUGUCAACUUUAGGUAAUGAUCCCACUAUUUUGGAGGGUGUUGAAUCUUAUUAUAAUGAUAAAAUUGGAUUUGGAGAGGUCAUGACUUUAUUUAGUAAUGAUUCCACUAUCUUGGAAGAGGUUUCAAUUGAGUAUGAUGAGAAUAAAGUUGCUACUUAUGAUGAUUAUUGUGAUGACACUUAUGUUAUAAAAAGUAGUGAUGAUUAUAUUUAUAAAACUUGUCAUAAUUAUGAUUACCCUUUUUCUGAACAUUACUCUUUUAAUGUGGAAACAAUUUAUAUUAUUUGA
rnacentral:rRNA from 1 species